rnacentral:ncRNA from 1 species
CGUCUUCAGGGCGGGGUGCGAUUCCCCACCGGCGGUAGGUGCCCGACACGGCACGAGCCCGCGAGCGCUCCGGCAGGGUCAUCCCGGCAGGAGGUCAGCAGAUCCGGUCGGAUGCCGGAGCCGACGGUCAUAGUCCGGAUGAAAGAAGACG